rnacentral:rRNA from 1 species
AGUGAACGCUGGCGGUAGGCCUAACACAUGCAAGUCGAACGGCAGCACAGUAAGAGCUUGCUCUUACGGGUGGCGAGUGGCGGACGGGUGAGGAAUACAUCGGAAUCUACUUUUUCGUGGGGGAUCACGUAGGGAAACUUACGCUAAUACCGCAUACGACCUACGGGUGAAAGCAGGGGAUCUUCGGACCUUUCGCGAUUGAAUGAGCCGAUGUCGGAUUAGCUAGUUGGCGGGGUAAAGGCCCACCAAGGCGACGAUCCGUAGCUGGUCUGAGAGGAUGAUCAGCCACACUGGAACUGGGACACGGACCAGACGCCUACGGGAGGCAGCAGUGGGGAAUAUGGGACAAUGGGCGCAAGCCUGAUCCAGCCAUACCGCGUGGGUGAAGAAGGCCUUCGGGUUGUAAAGCCCUUUUGUUGGGAAAGAAAAGCAGCAGGUUAAUACCCCGCUGUUCUGACGGUACCCAAAGAAUAAGCACCGGCUAACUUCGUG